AUUGAACGCUGGCGGCAGGCCUAACACAUGCAAGUCGAACGGUAGCACAGAGAGCUUGCUCUCGGGCGACGAGUGGCGGACGGGUGAGUAACGUCUGGGAAACUGCCCGAUGGAGGGGGAUAACUACUGGAAGCGGUAACUAAUACCGCAUAACGUCGCAAGACCAAAGUGGGGGACCUUCGGGCCUCACACCAUCGGAUGUGCCCAGAUGGGAUUAGCUAGUAGGUGGGGUAAUGGCUCACCUAGGCGACGAUCCCUAGCUGGUCUGAGAGGAUGACCAGCCACACUGGAACUGAGACACGGUCCAGACUCCUACGGGAGGCAGCAGUGGGGAAUAUUGCACAAUGGGCGCAAGCCUGAUGCAGCCAUGCCGCGUGUAUGAAGAAGGCCUUCGGGUUGUAAAGUACUUUCAGCGGGGAGGAAGGCGGUGAAGUUAAUAAUUUCACCGAUUGACGUUACCCGCAGAAGAAGCACCGGCUAACUCCGUGCCAGCCGCCGCGGUAA
rnacentral:rRNA from 1 species